rnacentral:rRNA from 1 species
AACGAACGCUGGCGGCAUGCCUAACACAUGCAAGUCGAACGAGACCUUCGGGUCUAGUGGCGCACGGGUGCGUAACGCGUGGGAACCUGCCCUUAGGUUCGGAAUAACUCCCCGAAAGGGGUGCUAAUACCGGAUAAUGUCUUCGGACCAAAGAUUUAUCGCCCUUGGAUGGGCCCGCGUUGGAUUAGCUAGUUGGUAGGGUAAAAGCCUACCAAGGCGACGAUCCAUAGCUGGUCUGAGAGGAUGAUCAGCCACACUGGGACUGAGACACGGCCCAGACUCCUACGGGAGGCAGCAGUGGGGAAUAUUGGACGAUGGGCGAAAGCCUGAUCCAGCAAUGCCGCGUGAGUGAUGAAGGCCUUAGGGUUGUAAAGCUCUUUUACCCGGGAUGAUAAUGACAGUACCGGGAGAAUAAGCUCCGGCUAACUCCGUG